rnacentral:rRNA from 1 species
UAGGGAAUUUUCGUCAAUGGGCGCAAGCCUGAACGAGCGAUGCCGCGUGAGUGAAGAAGGCCUUCGGGUCGUAAAGCUCUGUUGGACGGGGGAAAAAAGGCAACUACAGGAAAUGGUAGAUGACAGAUGGUGCCCCGCCAGAAAGUCACGGCUAACUACGUGCC